AGUGAACGCUGGCGGUAGGCCUAACACAUGCAAGUCGAACGGCAGCACAGUAAGAGCUUGCUCUUACGGGUGGCGAGUGGCGGACGGGUGAGGAAUACAUCGGAAUCUACUUUUUCUUGGGUGAUAACGUAGGGAAACUUACGCUAAUACCGCAUACGACCUACGGGUGAAAGCAGUGGAUCUUCGGACCUUGCGCGAUUGAAUGAGCCGAUGUCGGAUUAGCUAGUUGGCGGGGUAAAGGCCCACCAAGGCGACGAUCCGUAGCUGGUCUGAGAGGAUGAUCAGCCACACUGGAACUGAGACACGGUCCAGACUCCUACGGGAGGCAGCAGUGGGGAAUAUUGGACAAAGGGCGCAAGCCUGAUCCAGCCAUACCGCGUGGGUGAAGAAGGCCUUCGGGUUGUAAAGCCCUUUUGUUGGGAAAGAAAAGCAGCAGGUUAAUACCCCGCUGUUCUGACGGUACCCAAAGAAUAAGCACCGGCUAACUUCGUG
rnacentral:rRNA from 1 species